rnacentral:rRNA from 1 species
GACGAACGCUGGCGGCGUGCCUAAUACAUGCAAGUAGAACGAGUUGCGAACGGGUGAGUAACGCGUGGUAACCUGCCUCAUAGCGGGGGAUAACUACUGGAAACGGUAGCUAAUACCGCAUACCAUCGGAUGUGCCCAGAUGGGAUUAGCUAGUAGGUGGGGUAACGGCUAACCUAGGCGACGAUCCCUAGCUGGUCUGGGAGGAUGACCAGCCAAACUGGAACGUAGACACGGUCCAUACGCCUACGGUAGGUAGCAGUGGGUAAUAUGGCACUAGGGGCGCAAGCCUGAUGCAGCCAUGCCGCGUUUAUGAAGAAGGCCUUCGGGUUGGAAAGUAUUUUCAGCGAGGAGGCGUUACUCGCAGAAGAAGCACCGGCUAACUCCGUGCCAGCAGCCGCGGUAAUAC